rnacentral:lncRNA from 1 species
GGAACGUAUCGCCUAAUACAUAAUUCUUGUCAUUAGAUGAUUUUUCCUGUAAAGGAGCUAAUAAGAAUAUUCUCAUAAUUUAUUGUUCAUUAUGAUUUUGAUAUAUACUUAGUAAAGAUAAGUAAGGUACUUGGCCCAGCCAGGAAGAGGUGAUACAUCCUUAGAAAGCUAAUGCUAACCUCCAUCGGAAAAUGUCUAUCAAUCAAAACAGAGACAGUUGGACCAAUGUUUCAACGUUCCUGAACAGUUCUUCAGCAACUGGAGGUAAUAGUGCAAAGAAGGGUGCAGUCCCAGAGGCUCAGCCUGCGCUGACAAUGCAGUUCUAACAAGCUUCCCGCGGAUGGCUUCCAUUCUAGUAACAACUUUGGACAGGACUUUAAGUCUUUGAAGAGAUGGGGUCCUGCUGGUCUCAAGCUCCUGGGCUCAAGUGACCCUCCUUACAUCAGCUUCCGGAAUAGCUGGGACUCCAGGUACAAGCUGCUGCGCUCUGCAGGUUUCCCUUUUUAUGUCUGGGUUUCUGAUUCAUUUGGAAUUUAAAUGUACACUAUGCAAGAUGGAUCCAAUUUUAUCCUUUUCCACAGGGUGAUCUUAUUGUCAAAAUACCACUUGUUAGAAGUAAUUUUUACCACUGAUUUUAAAUGCUAUCUUUAUCAAUCACUAAAUUUCCAAAUGCACAUGGAUCGAUUUCUGGAUUUUAAACUUUUCCAUUGUUCUAUUCCUG